UAGGGAAUCUUCCGCAAUGGGCGAAAGCCUGACGGAGCAACGCCGCGUGAGUGAUGAAGGUCUUCGGAUCGUAAAACUCUGUUAUUAGGGAAGAACAAAUGUGUAAGUAACUAUGCACGUCUUGACGGUACCUAAUCAGAAAGCCACGGCUAACUACGUGCCAGCAGCCGCGGUAAUACGUAGGUGGCAAGCGUUAUCCGGAAUUAUUGGGCGUAAAGCGCGCGUAGGCGGUUUUUUAAGUCUGAUGUGAAAGCCCACGGCUCAACCGUGGAGGGUCAUUGGAACCUGGAAAACUUGAGUGCAGAAGAAGAAAGUGGAAUUCCAUGUGUAGCGUUGAAAUGCGCAGAGAUAUGGAGGAACACCAGUGGCGAAGGCGACUUUCUGGUCUGUAACUGACGCUGAUGUGCGAAAGCGUGGGGAUCAAACAGG
rnacentral:rRNA from 1 species